CGAAGGAUGCAAGCGUUAUCCGGAUUCAUUGGGUUUAAAGGGAGCGUAGGUGGACUGAUAAGUCAGUGGUGAAAUCUUCGAGCUUAACUCGGAAAUUGCCAUUGAUACUGUUGGUCUUGAGUACAGUUGCUGUGGGCGGAAUAUGACAUGUAGUGGUGAAAUACAUAGAGAUGUCGUAGAACACCGAUUGCGAAGGCAGCUCACAAAGCUGUAACUGACACUGAGGCUCGAAAGUGCGGGGAUCAAACAGGAUUAGAUACCCUGGUAGUCCGCACCGUAAACGAUGAUUACUCGCUGCUAGAUGGCAACAUUUAGUGGCUUAGCGAAAGCGAUAAGUAAUCCACCUGGGGAGUACGCCGGCAACGGUG
rnacentral:rRNA from 1 species